rnacentral:rRNA from 1 species
GAUGAACGCUGGCGGCGUGCCUAAUACAUGCAAGUCGAGCGAACAGACGAGGAGCUUGCUCCUCUGACGUUAGCGGCGGACGGGUGAGUAACACGUGGAUAACCUACCUAUAAGACUGGGAUAACUUCGGGAAACCGGAGCUAAUACCGGAUAAUAUAUUGAACCGCAUGGUUCAAUAGUGAAAGACGGUUUUGCUGUCACUUAUAGAUGGAUCCGCGCCGCAUUAGCUAGUUGGUAAGGUAACGGCUUACCAAGGCAACGAUGCGUAGCCGACCUGAGAGGGGGAUCGGCCACCCUGGAAUGGAGACACGGCCCAGCUCCCUACGGGAGGCAGCAGUAGGGAAUCUUCCGCAAUGGGCGAAAGCUUGACGGAGCAACCCCGCGGGAGUGAUGAAGGUCUUCGGAUCGUAAAACUCUGUUAUUAGGGAAAAACAAAUGUGUAAGUAACGAUGCACGUCUUGACGGUACCUAAUCAGAAAGCCACGGCUAACUACGU